rnacentral:tRNA from 1 species
GGAGCUGAGGCAGAUACGGUUGGCUGCGCCAGUUUGCUAAACUGGUUGCCCACUUAUGGGCAUGAGGGUUCGAAUUCCUCCAACUCCG